rnacentral:rRNA from 1 species
AGCGAACGCGGAUGGGGCUAAACCGUAUGUGUGUGAUACCCGGCAGGGGUUGCAUGUGCGGUGUUGUGGGCCCCUCCUUGUCAUGUCUGCCGGCAUGGCGCAGUGAGGUGCGGGCAUAUAGACGAACAGUGUGGAUGCUGGACCGUAGAGGGUGAGAGUCCCGUAGUCGAAAUGUGUUCCGCCGCUGUUGGAGGGUUGCCCGAGUAGCACGGGGCCCGAGGAAUCCCGUGUGAAUCUGCCAGGACCACCUGGU